rnacentral:lncRNA from 1 species
CGCUGCCCACGCGGUACGUGCCGGCGCCGCCGCCGCCCUCCAGUUGUACCAGCUGCAGCUCCUGCCCGGUGCAGAAGGCGCGGAUCUGGCACAGUGCAGGUCCUACCUGGGAAACGCCCUGGCCUCAGGGCACCGCCCCGGCCUGCGAGAAGAGACAGGCCCACAGAUGUGGAGAGAAAGAGAGAGAGAACCUCAACAGUGGACAGAGAAAAAGCCUGGACAAGCAGCAGGGAGGAAUGAGGAAGCCCCAGCUGGCCCAGGAGGGCUGGUGGUGAGGGAUCAGGAGCCGGGCUUCUGACCCAGCUGUCCUGGGUCAGGUACGGGCCUGGCAAGCACCACAAAGGGAUGAGGAGAGGACCCAGGAGCCCAGCGAGACAUUGGGAACCCAUCCUCCAGGACUCAGCUGAAGACCAAGGCUAUCGUGGGACCAGCAGCCAGGUCUUGGCAGUCUCGAUCCACAGCAGGCUGUGAGCCCACCUGGCUGGGGGACUCGAGCCCGGGCCUCCGGGGCUCCUGGGCCAUGAGCCUCAUCUUCA